rnacentral:rRNA from 1 species
UACGUAGGCAGCGAGCGUUGUUCGGAAUCACUGGGCGUAAAGGGCGCGUAGGCGGGCUCUUCAGUCCGGGGUGAAAGCCCAAGGCUCAACCUUGGAAUUGCCUUUGAUACUGAGGGCCUUGAGACCGGAAGAGGUCGGCGGAACUGCGAGUGUAGAGGUGAAAUUCGUAGAUAUUCGCAAGAACACCAGUGGCGAAGGCGGCCGACUGGUCCGGUUCUGACGCUGAGGCGCGAAAGCGUGGGGAGCAAACAGG